UAUAUAUUAAAUUAUUAUUAUAUUAUAGUAUAUUAUAUUAUAUAUUAUAUUAUAUAAAUAAGUAAAGAAACAUAAGAAACAGAAUGAAAGCAAACGAAACAGAGAAGAAACAGGGGAGAAAGAAAGAAAGAAAAAGAAAAAGAAAAAGGAAAAUUUGGGUUUCAAGGCUCAAAGUUUAAUUUGUCAAUGUGGUACCAGAAAUCUUGGCUAAGAAAGGACAAGACAAAGUCAACGGGAGUUAGCUCGAAAAUUACGGUUUGUAUUUCUAUAAUCCGAACCUAAUACUUAAUUGUUGAAUUUAUUUCUUAAUAUGUAUAUUAAGUGUUUUGAAGUAAGAAUUAUUGUGUUUUGCAAAUGAAAUGGAUUGAUAUAGUAUGUGAUGAAUUUAUUGAAUUUAUAUUGAUUGAAUUGGCGUAUAUAUAUAUAGAUAUAUAUAUUGAAUAUUGAAUAUAUAUUGAUUAUUUGAAUUGAA